AACGAACGCUGGCGGCAGGCCUAACACAUGCAAGUCGAGCGAGGACUUCGGUUCUAGCGGCGGACGGGUGAGUAACGCGUGGGAAUGUGCCCUUCUCUACGGAAUAGCCCUGGGAAACUGAGUAAUACCGUAUACGCCCUAUUGGGGAAAGAUUUAUCGGAGAAGGAUCAGCCCGCGUUGGAUUAGGUAGUUGGUGGGGUAAUGGCCUACCAAGCCGACGAUCCAUAGCUGGUUUGAGAGGAUGAUCAGCCACACUGGGACUGAGACACGGCCCAGACUCCUACGGGAGACAGCAGUGGGGAAUCUUAGACAAUGGGGGCAACCCUGAUCUAGCCAUGCCGCGUGAGUGAUGAAGGCCUUAGGGUUGUAAAGCUCUUUCAGCUGGGAAGAUAAUGACGGUACCAGCAGAAGAAGCCCCGGCUAACUCCGUG
rnacentral:rRNA from 1 species